rnacentral:rRNA from 1 species
AGCGAACGCUGGCGGCAGGCCUAACACAUGCAAGUCGAACGCCCCUUCGGGGGAGUGGCGGACGGGUGAGUAACGCGUGGGAAUGUGCCCUUUGGUACGGAACAACUGAGGGAAACUUCAGCUAAUACCGUAUGUGCCCUUCGGGGGAAAGAUUUAUCGCCAUUGGAGCAGCCCGCGUUGGAUUAGGUAGUUGGUGGGGUAAAGGCCUACCAAGCCUGCGAUCCAUAGCUGGUCUGAGAGGAUGAUCAGCCACACUGGGACUGAGACACGGCCCAGACUCCUACGGGAGGCAGCAGUGGGGAAUCUUGCGCAAUGGGCGAAAGCCUGACGCAGCCAUGCCGCGUGUAUGAUGAAGGUCUUAGGAUUGUAAAAUACUUUCACCGGGGAAGAUAAUGACGGUACCCGGAGAAGAAGCCCCGGCUAACUUCGUGCCAGCCGCCGCCGUAAUAC